UCCGUAGGUGAACCUGCGGAAGGAUCAUUCAUAAUCAAGUGUUUUUAUGGCACUUUCAAAAAUCCAUAUCCACCUUGUGUGCAAUGUCAUCUCUCUGGGGGCUGCCGGCUGUCAAAAGCCGUGUGGUCNACCUUUGGGAUUUAUAUCUACUCAGAACUUUAGUGAUUUUGUCUGAAACAUAUUAUGAAUACUUAAUUCAAAAUACAACUUUCAACAACGGAUCUCUUGGCUCUCGCAUCGAUGAAGAACGCAGCGAAAUGCGAUACGUAAUGUGAAUUGCAGAAUUCAGUGAAUCAUCGAAUCUUUGAACGCAUAUUGCGCUCUCUGGUAUUCCGGAGAGCAUGCUUGUUUGAGUAUCAGUAAACACCUCAACUUCCAUAUCUUUUUUGAAAUGGGAGUUGGACUUGAGUGAUCCCAACGCUUUUCCUUACCGAAAAGUGGCGGGUUACUUGAAAUGCAGGUGCAGCUGGACUUUUNCUCUGAGCUAUAAGCAUAUCUAUUUAGUCUGCCUAAAAAACAGAUUAUUACCUUUGCUGCAGCUAACAUAAAGGAGAUUAGUUCUUGUGCUGACUGAUGCAGGAUUCACAAAGACAGGCUUCGGCCGACUUUGUAAACUCGAUCUCAAAUCAAGUAAGACUACCCGCUGAACUUAAGCAUAUCAAUAAGCGGAGGAAAAGAAACUAACAAGGAUUCCCCUAGUAACGGCGAGUGAAGCGGGAUGAGCUCAAAUUUAAAAUCUGGCUGGUUUACUAGUCCGAAUUGUAGUUUAAAGAAGCGUUUUCGGUGGCAGCCUGGGUAUAAAUCCUUUGGAACAGGGUAUCAUAGAGGGUGAGAAUCCCGUCUUUGACUCAGUGCAUGCUACUAUGUGAUACGUUUUCAAAGAGUCGAGUUGUUUGGGAAUGCAGCUCAAAAUGGGUGGUAAAUUUCAUCUAAAGCUAAAUAUUGGCGAGAGACCGAUAGCGAACAAGUACCGUGAGGGAAAGAUGAAAAGAACUUUGAAAAGAGAGUUAAACAGUGCGUGAAAUUGUUGAAAGGGAAACGCUUGAAGU
rnacentral:sRNA from 1 species